rnacentral:rRNA from 1 species
AGUGAACGCUGGCGGCGUGCUUAACACAUGCAAGUCGAACGAGUAAGUGCUGUAGCAAUACAGAUUACUGCUAGUGGCAGACGGGUGAGUAAUACAUGGGAAUCUUCCUUGAAGUCUGGAAUAACUGUUGGAAACGACAGCUAAUACCGGAUGAUACCUUAGGGUCAAAGAUUUAUCGCUUCGAGAUGAGCCCAUGCAAGAUUAGCUAGUUGGUAGGGUAAUGGCCUACCAAGGCGAUGAUCUUUAGCUGGUCUGAGAGGAUGAUCAGCCACACUGGAACUGAGACACGGUCCAGACUCCUACGGGAGGCAGCAGUGGGGAAUAUUGGACAAUGGGCGAAAGCCUGAUCCAGCGACGCCGCGUGAGUGAUGAAGGCCUCGG